UCAUGACUCUCAACAACAGAUAUCUUAGCUCUCACCAUGAUGAAGAACAUAGUGAAAUAUGAUACUUAGUGUGAAUUACAGAAUCCUAUGAAUCAUUAAGUCUUUGAACGUAAGUUAUGUCCUAGGCCUCGGCCAAGGGCACGUCUACUUGGGCAUCGCAU
rnacentral:rRNA from 1 species